rnacentral:rRNA from 1 species
GAUGAACGCUAGCUACAGGCUUAACACAUGCAAGUCGAGGGGCAGCAUUUCAGUUUGCUUGCAAACUGGAGAUGGCGACCGGCGCACGGGUGAGUAACACGUAUCCAACCUGCCGAUAACUCGGGGAUAGCCUUUCGAAAGAAAGAUUAAUACCCGAUGGUAUAAUCAGACCGCAUGGUCUUGUUAUUAAAGAAUUUCGGUUAUCGAUGGGGAUGCGUUCCAUUAGGCAGUUGGUGAGGUAACGGCUCACCAAACCUUCGAUGGAUAGGGGUUCUGAGAGGAAGGUCCCCCACAUUGGAACUGAGACACGGUCCAAACUCCUACGGGAGGCAGCAGUGAGGAAUAUUGGUCAAUGGGCGCAGGCCUGAACCAGCCAAGUAGCGUGAAGGAUGACUGCCCUAUGGGUUGUAAACUUCUUUUAUAUGGGAAUAAAGUUUUCCACGUGUGGAAUUUUGUAUGUACCAUAUGAAUAAGGAUCGGCUAACUCCGUGCCAGCAGCCGCGGUAAUACGGAGGAUCCGAGCGUUAUCCGGAUUUAUUGGGUUUAAAGGGAGCGUAGGUGGACAGUUAAGUCAGUUGUGAAAGUUUGCGGCUCAACCGUAAAAUUGCAGUUGAUACUGGCUGUCUUGAGUACAGUAGAGGUGGGCGGAAUUCGUGGUGUAGCGGUGAAAUGCUUAGAUAUCACGAAGAACUCCGAUUGCGAAGGCAGCUCACUGGACUGCAACUGACACUGAUGCUCGAAAGUGUGGGUAUCAAACAGGAUUAGAUACCCUGGUAGUCCACACAGUAAACGAUGAAUACUCGCUGUUUGCGAUAUACAGUAAGCGGCCAAGCGAAAGCAUUAAGUAUUCCACCUGGGGAGUACGCCGGCAACGGUGAAACUCAAAGGAAUUGACGGGGGCCCGCACAAGCGGAGGAACAUGUGGUUUAAUUCGAUGAUACGCGAGGAACCUUACCCGGGCUUAAAUUGCAUUUGAAUAUAUCGGAAACAGUAUAGCCGUAAGGCAAAUGUGAAGGUGCUGCAUGGUUGUCGUCAGCUCGUGCCGUGAGGUGUCGGCUUAAGUGCCAUAACGAGCGCAACCCUUAUCUUUAGUUACUAACAGGUCAUGCUGAGGGCUCUAGAGAGACUGCCGUCGUAAGAUGUGAGGAAGGUGGGGAUGACGUCAAAUCAGCACGGCCCUUACGUCCGGGGCUACACACGUGUUACAAUGGGGGGUACAGAAGGCAGCUACCUGGUGACAGGAUGCUAAUCCCAAAAGCCUCUCUCAGUUCGGAUCGAAGUCUGCAACCCGACUUCGUGAAGCUGGAUUCGCUAGUAAUCGCGCAUCAGCCAUGGCGCGGUGAAUACGUUCCCGGGCCU